rfam:Ruminococcaceae bacterium D16 genomic scaffold acsPy-supercont2.5, whole genome shotgun sequence.
AGGCGGUUGAUUCGUCCCGCCUGGGGAGGCCGGUGGAAAUACAGUGCAAAAGAACCGGGCUGAACAGCAGGCUGGGUGGCGAAGC